rnacentral:rRNA from 1 species
AAGCGCUUGUGACCAGACUUGGGCGCGGCGGAUCAUCCGGGGUUCUCUCCGGUGCACUUCGCCGCGUCUAGGCCAGCAUCAGUUCGUCGCGGGGGAAAAAGGCUUCGGGAACGUGGCUCCUCCGGGAGUGUUAUAGCCCUCGGUGCAAUGCCGCCUACCUGGACCGAGGACCGCGCUUCGGCUAGGAUGCUGGCGUAAUGGU